rnacentral:rRNA from 1 species
AACGAACGCUGGCGGCAGGCCUAACACAUGCAAGUCGAGCGCCCUUUCGGGGGAGCGGCGGACGGGUGAGUAACGCGUAGGAAUAUGCCCUUCUCUACGGAAUAGCCUCGGGAAACUGAGAGUAAUACCGUAUACGCCCUGUGGGGGAAAGAUUUAUCGGGGAAGGAUUAGCCCGCGUUGGAUUAGGUAGUUGGUGGGGUAAUGGCCUACCAAGCCGACGAUCCAUAGCUGGUUUGAGAGGAUGAUCAGCCACACUGGGACUGAGACACGGCCCAGACUCCUACGGGAGGCAGCAGUGGGGAAUCUUAGACAAUGGGGGCAACCCUGAUCUAGCCAUGCCGCGUGAGUGAUGAAGGCCUUAGGGUUGUAAAGCUCUUUCAGCUGGGAAGAUAAUGACGGUACCAGCAGAAGAAGCCCCGGCUAACUCCGUG